GAGGGUAUAGCUCAAUGGUAGAGUGCAUGCAUGUAUGAGGUCCUGGGCUCAAUUCCCAGUACCUCCA
rnacentral:tRNA from 1 species